GACGAACGCUGGCGGCGUGCUUAACACAUGCAAGUCGAACGGAAAGGCCCUGCUUUUGUGGGUGGCUCGAGUGCCGAAGGGGUGAGUAACACGUGAGUAACCUCCCCUUAACUUUGGGAUAACUUCAGGAAACUGGGGCUAUAACCGGAUAGGAGCUCCUGCGGCAUGGUGGGGGUUGGAAAGUUUCGGCGGUGGGGGAUGGACUCGCGGCUUAUCAGCUUGUUGGUGGGGUAGUGGCUUACCAAGGCUUUGACGGGUAGCCGGCCUGAGAGGGUGACCGGCCACAUUGGGACUGAGAUACGGCCCAGACUCCUACGGGAGGCAGCAGUGGGGAAUAUUGCACAAUGGGCGGAAGCCUGAUGCAGCAACGCCGCGUGCGGGAUGACGGCCUUCGGGUUGUAAACCGCUUUCGCCUGUGACGAAGCGUGAGUGACGGUAAUGGGUAAAGAAGCACCGGCUAACUACGUG
rnacentral:rRNA from 1 species